rnacentral:rRNA from 1 species
GACGAACGCUGGCGGCGUGCCUAAUACAUGCAAGUAGAACGCUGAAGAGAGGAGCUUGCUCUUCUUGGAUGAGUUGCGAACGGGUGAGUAACGCGUAGGUAACCUGCCUUGUAGCGGGGGAUAACUAUUGGAAACGAUAGCUAAUACCGCAUAACAAUGGAUGACACAUGUCAUUUAUUUGAAAGGGGCAAUUGCUCCACUACAAGAUGGACCUGCGUUGUAUUAGCUAGUAGGUGAGGUAAUGGCUCACCUAGGCGACGAUACAUAGCCGACCUGAGAGGGUGAUCGGCCACACUGGGACUGAGACACGGCCCAGACUCCUACGGGAGGCAGCAGUAGGGAAUCUUCGGCAAUGGGGGCAAACCUGACCGAGAAACGCCGCGUGAGUGAAGAAGGGUUUCGGAUCGUAAAGAUCUGUUGUAAGUCAAGAACGGGUGUGAGAGUGGAAAGUUCACACUGUGACGGUAGCUUACCAGAAAGGGACGGCUAACUACGUG